CAAUUUUUACUGGAUAGACAUUACCUAUAACCAAUAAAGCGUCAUAAAUGUAUUGUCAUUUUGUCACAAUUUAAUUGACGUGAAAUUAGAUUUUUUCAGAUGUCUCUAUUGGCAUUUUUAUUAGUUUUCAUUACCUAGUUUAUAUAGUUUUAUGAAAAUGGAUUAGGUACACUAUUCGUAACUUUUGUUUUGACUUGACAGUGUAAAAUGAUUUCUAUAAUAUAUAUAUAUAUUUAUGUUUCUUUUUAGAUGUCUCUCCUACCAUUUUUAUUGGAGGAUCUUUCACGCCCAACCGUUUACGAUCAGCACUUUGGUCUGGGAUUGUUAGAUGACGUGU